rnacentral:rRNA from 1 species
GAGUACGUGAAACUGUGUGGUGGUAAACGGAGGGGUUCUCGAAGUCUCUGUGGGGAACUCAACCUUGGUGUCGGGCAGUCAGGGUGUAUCCGAUCAGCAAUGACGGUGCGCUUUGUCUGGCUUGGCUCUCGGGUGCAUUUCCCCCGCAGUUUACGGCAGGAACCGUUUGGCUCGGACCAAAGGCCUCGGGUGAAGUUGUCGCUUAUGGUGGCAGCCCUGGGUGUCCUGGCUCUGCGCUCGACGGGUACGUGAGAGGACUCGUAUAGCGAGCAACGCUCUGUUGCGGUUCUCAUCUCUCUGCCGAGUAGGUCGGUGGCCCCUCCGACCCGUCUUGAAAACACGGACA